rnacentral:lncRNA from 1 species
UCUACAGGCUAUUUUAUUUAAAUUUGCAACUGACUCCAAUACAAUUUCUAUCUAUGUUUUAAUACCAUUUUUUGGAAGGUCUAGAAGUUAUAAAACAGGAAUUAGAGUCCCAAUAUGCUACUACAUAAGUUGGGUUUCUUUAUUUAUAGUUUUAUUGAGUUAUUAGGUCUUCUAAAGUAUAUAAAUAAGGCAAUUAUUGUAAACAAAAGUAGAAUGACAAUUUGGCCGAGUUUGCAAACAUUAACGAUGAAAUUUCACUAUUUUCUACAAAUGAGUCUCCCAGAAGAAGGCUUUAAAGAGACUCUUCUUUCUUCUUCUUGAUGUUAAUCCUAUUUCCCAUUCCCCUCCCUCAUCCUAAAAUGAUGAAGCCACAAUCCACCAUUAUUUGAUUGGAAAUAGUUACCUUAGGGUUGUCCUGCAUAUAUACAAGACAAACAAAAAAGGGUACCAAGACUAAGCAAAUGAGAGACCAAAACACCUACUUUAAAAUUGUGACAAAAAUAUGAAAAGAUGGCCUUUUUUGUCCAUAAAAAAUGACUGCCUUGCUAAUCAAAUCCAAAUGUGAAAUAUAAAAUUAUGGUUAUGUUAUGUAUGUGUGUGUGUGUGUGUGUUAGCCCGGUAUACAUUAUGGGCUCAAAUCCUAACAAUUUUAACCUUUUUUGAAAGUCGGUAUCCUAAUAUGGUCCCCAUCUAUCUAUUUAUCAUUGCUACUGAUUUGUCUCCUCAUGAAUGAGAAUGGGGUCACACAUAAGAGAGGUUCUUAGCCUGAUAUACGCAGUGGGUCCAAAUCCUUACAACUUAAGAUUUUAGUAAAGUUGGUAACUUAAACUAAUGUCUUAGGUUGAAC